AGCAUGUGGUUUAAUUCGAAGACACGACGAGAACUUACCAGGCCUUGACAUGCAGAGAACUUUCCAGAGAUGGAUUGGUGCCCUUCGGGAACUCUGACACAGGUGCUGCAUGGCUGUCGCCAGCUCGUGUCGUGAGAUGUUGGGUUAAGUCCCGUAACGAGCGCAACCCUUGUCCUUAGUUACCAGCACGUUAUGGUGGGCACUCUAAGGAGACUGCCGGUGACAAACCGGAGGAAGGUGGGGAUGACGUCAAGUCAUCAUGGCCCUUACGGCCUGGGCUACACACGUGCUACAAUGGUCGGUACAAAGGGUUGCCAAGCCGCGAGGUGGAGCUAAUCCCAUAAAACCGAUCGUAGUCCGGAUCGCAGUCUGCAACUCGACUGCGUGAAGUCGGAAUCGCUAGUAAUCGUGAAUCAGAAUGUCACGGUGAAUACGUUCCCGGGCCUU
rnacentral:rRNA from 1 species